rnacentral:rRNA from 1 species
CUGUCUUAAGAGGACUCUCCAUGAAAUUGAAUUCGUAGUGAAGAUGCUACGUCCAUAUUGUAAGACGAAAAGACCCCAUUGAGCUUUACUAAAGACUUGCAUGGCUCAAAAUAAUUUGACUUAAAUAAAGAGUUUAGAUAAUGUGGGACCCGUUUCUGGUUAAUGAAACACCACUCUUUUAUUUUAAGAGAGCUAACAUUACAGGGAUAGUGUAAGUUGGAUAGUUUGGUUGGGGCGACCACCUUUUAAAAGGUAACGAAGGUGAGCUUAAGGUCCGUAGUUAAUAGCCGGUGGCCUGACUGCAAGGGGG